rnacentral:misc_RNA from 1 species
UCUUUCCUCUUAAAGAAGGCAAGACCUUAGAAUUUAGAUGCUCUUCGCAUAUCUCCCUAUAUUUGUCAUAUAACUCCUGAGAAUACUCGCGGAUUGGGUGCGGGCUAGUAAUGUUAUAAACUGCUCUGCCUCAGCCAAAUUAAAGCCAUACAAGUCCAGGUAAAAAAAUCAAAGAAAAAAACCAGAUCACUCACUUCAGAUCAGAGAAACCGAUCGCAGAUUGAUUGAUAAAGAAGAAUUAUGCUAAUUUUGAGACCAGAAUGAAGCAAAAAUCAAGAAUAAGAAAAUGAAACAGAGAGAACCCAUGAUUCAAAACUCAAAAGUGAACCUUGUGAUGAAAAAGGAUACGUAUAGAAUCGCAUGUAAUCUUCAGAAUUGAAAGGCUGAGUUUCAAUCCCUUCUAAAGAAGUAUUGAGAGUAUUAUCUCUUUUAUCACCACCAAUCCUUCCUCAUACUCCCUUUCCCUUGACCUCCUCUUUUCAUCUUUAGUGGCCAUGGUGGGUGCUAAUGAGUUUGAGCUUCAAUUCAAAGAUUGGAGAAAUAUGUAUGUAAUAUAACUUGAGAAUUUUCU